GUGAAUCAUCAAAUUUUUGAACGCAUAUUGCACUAUCUGGUAUUCCGGAGAGUAUGCCUAUUUGAGGGUCAUUUGAAAUAUUAUAAAUUUCGAGAUUUUCUUGAAAUCAAAAAUGGGUCGGUCCAGCUUUCGUGUGGUGGUCGCCUAAAUUGCAAGACAAGCUCAUUUUCUUGUGUUGUGUGAUACUUUCAGUUACUUCGUGACUUAACCAGCAAUCAUCGGUCUUGUUAUGAAUUUUGCAAGAAAUAAACUUCAUUUAUCUCGAUCUCAAAAUUAAAUUGAAUCAUGACCU
rnacentral:misc_RNA from 1 species